rnacentral:lncRNA from 1 species
ACAGUUCCCUGGGACACCAGGCAUCAGGCUACAUCUAGCUCACCGAGGCCUCAGGGAAGGCUGUGCUGAGGAAGUUCAGGGUGUUCCUCUCCCUUCUGAGGCCAUCCAUUCUGUUCCCUUGGCUCCUGUGUCACUGCUGAGCUGAUACGGUCAGGCUAAAGGGCCACCUUUGUUCUCAUACCAUCUCCCUAGGCUCUUUCCUCAGAUUCCACAGACCCACAGGAAAUCCUGCUGCUCUGAGUCUGAGUUUGGCCUUAACACCUAAAGGUAGCCUGGGGGACGAUGGACGAAGCAGUAGAAGAAAGGGGAUGAUAACUCAUUGUGUUCUGCAGUGUGGCAUCCAGGAACCAGUUGCUAUACAAACAAGGACUAAGCAUGAAGCCUUGACCUAAAAACUUAUGGAAGGAUAAUGAGCAGUUGAAUGUGGUUUCUCGUCGACUUGGGAUGCUCUACUCUGGGAACCUCCACCCCUUCUCCUAGUCCAUAUGGUCAACUCAU